rnacentral:tRNA from 1 species
GCCCCCGUAGACCAAUGGUAGAGUCAGUAGACUUAAAAUCUAUCCAGUAUGGGUUCGAGUCCCAUCGGGGGUA